AUUGAACGCUGGCGGCAGGCCUAACACAUGCAAGUCGAGCGGAUGAAGGGAGCUUGCUCCUGGAUUCAGCGGCGGACGGGUGAGUAAUGCCUAGGAAUCUGCCUGGUAGUGGGGGAUAACGUCCGGAAACGGGCGCUAAUACCGCAUACGUCCUGAGGGAGAAAGUGGGGGAUCUUCGGACCUCACGCUAUCAGAUGAGCCUAGGUCGGAUUAGCUAGUUGGUGGGGUAAAGGCCUACCAAAGCGACGAUCCGUAACUGGUCUGAGAGGAUGAUCAGUCACACUGGAACUGAGACACGGUCCAGACUCCUACGGGAGGCAGCAGUGGGGAAUAUUGGACAAUGGGCGAAAGCCUGAUCCAGCCAUGCCGCGUGUGUGAAGAAGGUCUUCGGAUUGUAAAGCACUUUAAGUUGGGGGGAAGGGCAGUAAGUUAAUACCUUGCUGUUUUGACGUUACCAACAGAAUAAGCACCGGCUAACUUCGUG
rnacentral:rRNA from 1 species